GACGAACGCUGACGGCGUGCUUAACACAUGCAAGUCGAACGGAAAGGCCCUGCUUUUGUGGGGUGCUCGAGUGGCGAACGGGUGAGUAACACGUGAGUAACCUGCCCUUGACUUUGGGAUAACUUCAGGAAACUGGGGCUAAUACCGGAUAGGAGCUCCUGCUGCAUGGUGGGGGUUGGAAAGUUUCGGCGGUUGGGGAUGGACUCGCGGCUUAUCAGCUUGUUGGUGGGGUAGUGGCUUACCAAGGCUUUGACGGGUAGCCGGCCUGAGAGGGUGACCGGCCACAUUGGGACUGAGAUACGGCCCAGACUCCUACGGGAGGCAGCAGGGGGGAAUAUUGCACAAUGGGCGGAAGCCUGAUGCAGCAACGCCGCGUGCGGGAUGACGGCCUUCGGGUUGUAAACCGCUUUCGCCUGUGACGAAGCGUGAGUGACGGUAAUGGGUAAAGAAGCACCGGCUAACUACGUG
rnacentral:rRNA from 1 species